AACUAAUAAAAAUAGGACACAUCUCAUUUAAAUUAAAAUAUAUAAAAAUGAAUUGUGAAUCCCUUUCUCUCUCUCUUUCAAUUCCGGCAAGCCUCCUCUCCACCUUGCCGCCAUAGUUGAUCGGAGUUGCUGCUGCAAAAGACUGCUAUGUGGGUGACAGUCGACUUGGUGUCGUUUGUUCCUCAAAAAACAUUAACCAGACUUACGAAAGCGGGUCGACUUCAUGUUGGACUUGUUGCCUUGGACUAUUCACCCAUACACAAACGUUGAUUUUUGGGACUUGGUCGAGGAGGCACUAUGGGUUUUCGUUGUGGUCCUUGUUGAGUUGUUGUGAUUUUCAAACUUGGGUGGUAGUGAAUAUUGAUGCAGCGGUUCUGUAGAACUUUAGUUUCAUUAAGUAAAUUAAAUCAAACCUUUGAAAUUUAGUGGACAACAAGUUAGAUCUUAUUGUCUAUGUUUUUUGUUUUAAUGAUUUUUUUGUUAAAUAUGCUUGGAUCUCAUCCCUAAAAGCUAGCUCAAAUGGUGAGGUUGCCCUCACAUAUUUAUACACUUCACAUCCCGGGAACCUAAGCAAUGUGAGACUUCAAACAAACUCCAACAACACAACAACAUAUUCAACACCCACCCUCACGCCUAGCGUGGUCCUGGGUCAAAUGCCCACAUCAACACCCACCCUCACGCCUAGCGUGGUCCUGGGUCAAAUGUCCACAUUGCAGUCCUUAACCCGGCUCUGAUACCAUGUUAAAUAUGUUUGGAUCUCAUCUCUAAAAGCUAGCUCAAAGGGUGAGGUUGCCCUCACAUAUUUAUACACUUCACAUCCCGGGAACCUAAGCAAUGUGAGACUUCAAACAAACUCCAACAACACAACAACAUAUUCAACACCCACCCUCACGCCUAGCGUGGUCCUGGGUCAAAUGCAAUUACUUGUCAUUAAAACAAAAAACAUAGACAAUAAGAUCUAACUUGUUGUCCACUAAAUUUCAAAGGUUUGAUUUAAUUUACUUAAUGAAACUAAAGUUCUACAGAACCGCUGCAUCAAUAUUCACUACCACCCAAGUUUGAAAAUCACAACAACUCAACAAGGACCACAACGAAAACCCAUAGUGUGUUAAGAAGUCCCACAUCGGUUGAGAGAUGGCCUGACUAAGUGUUUAUAUACUAGAGGCAAUCCUCACCUUACAAAAUCGGCUUGUAAGGUGAGGAUUGCCUCUAGUAUAUAAACACUUAGUCAGGCCAUCUCUCAACCGAUGUGGGACUUCUUAACACACCCCCUCGCGUCCAGCGCUAUUGGGCUUGGUACGCGGAUAUACAUGGUAGGUGGCCCGAUAUCGGGUGGCCCAACGGAUCUUGGAGAGGCUCUGAUACCAUCUUAGAAUUGAGUAUUGGGCCUAACUCAUCCUUACAAAACCGGCUUGUAAGGUGAGGAUUGCCUCUAGUAUAUAAACACUUAGUCAGGCCAUCUCUCAACCGAUGUGGGACUUCUUAACAUUUUUCUUGCAAUAUUUUAAUAUUCAUUGCAAAUUGUUGAGAUUCAAGCAUUGAGUAGUGGCAAUGGAAGAAGUGGGUUUGGGCGAAACAAGCCUGCAAAGAGAGAGGGAGAGAGCCGACUGAAGGAGAGAGAGAAAAUGGCUCAUAAUUCAUUUAAUUUUUAUAUAUUUUAAUUUAAAUGACAUGUGUCCUAUUUUUGUUUGUUGUGCCCAAAUUUGAUGUGUUGUGACUGUGCCUAGUGAAG
rnacentral:lncRNA from 1 species